GUCUUCCCGUUUCUACCCUUGCCCUCCUACAAUCUGUCUCCACAUAUAUUCCAGCUCUAAAAUUUUUUGUUCCUUACUUUGGGGACAUUAACUUGACGAGGAUCAGCUGUUUGCAAAGAAAGGAGGGCUUGGAUGAAAGAGGAUGGAAGGAAGCUUGGGCUAACUUGCAGGGGGAGGAAAUGCAGGUCAGCAACGUCACCAUUUCACCAGCACCAUCAUCAUCAGUUUCGAUAAAAAACUUCCUGUAUCCACCACAGAUUGCAAUACAGUCUCCAAGUCAUAGAUUGUGGGUUCUGGACCAGGUCUGGAAUAGGCCUUAUCGAUUACAGUUGAGAAAACCAAGACCCCAAGAGGUGAGGUGCAUACUCAGGUUAGGGCUCUCUCUCUCAAUGAGUCAACAGAGUCAAGACGGCGCAGAGAAAACCUCGUUACCAGGGCAGAUGGGAGGCUUUGCGGCAGCUUCUGGCAGCCCCUUGGGAAUCACCUGUUUGGUGCCACAGGCAGCUGGGGUCACCCGCAAGGGGCCUCCCACACUGUGAUCCUUCCACACUGUGCAGGAUAGAAGACGCUUCCCUGGCCUCGACUCCCCCAGACCAUCCAACGCAGUGUGCUGAGUUAAGCUGUUGGGGAGCAACGAUCACCAGGACAGGGGUCUACCCUCGAGAAGGGACCGUGGCUGAUGGAGCAGCGAUCAGAAUGUCAUCUAGUUGGACACCAUGCAGUUGGAAUCAUAUGUUAUGAAGCCUUUUCUGAUUGGCUUCUUUCACUU